GAUCUUGAUGGAAGAUUCCAUCACAGACACCAUCGUCUCACCAGACAGUUAUUUUUUGAGACCUGAGAACACUGGGAUUUUCUUACUUUUUUUAGUUUCAUGUUUGUCCAUUUGCCUCCAUGGCUCCUUCAGGGACGGGGAGGAGAUGAGUUUUUCUUUUGAGGUUUCUCCAUAGGGUGCAUGUUGAAUGGAUGCUGGUAUGCUGCUGCUGCUGCUGCUAAGUCACUUCAGUCGUGUCCGACUCUGUGCGACCCCAUAGACGGCAGCCCACCAGGCUCCCCCGUCCCUGGGAUUCUCCAGGCAAGAACACUGGAGUGGGUUGCCAUUUCCUUUUCAAAUGCAUGAAAGUAAAAAGUGAAAGUGAAGUCGCUUAGUCAUGUCCAACUGUUAGCAACCCCAUGGACUGCAGCCUACCAGGCUCCUCUGUCCAUGGGAUUUUCCAGGCAAGAGUACUGGAGUGGGGUGCCAUUGCCUUCUCUGGAUGCUGGUACAGACAGGCUCAACUGCACCACAAAUGAACCAUGGAAGAUGCUAAAUGGAAGAAACCGGGCACAAAAUAGGGCACCCCCCAGGAGUCACAUAGAGAAAGGAUGAGCACAGGAAUUAAGUGUUAAAAACACAUGCUUCAUCAUUGCCUACCCUGAGUCUUUAGUUCUUUGGGACCCACUGAUCAAGUUCAACCUCCAUGUUUGAUAGAGGAGGAAACGGAGCUCCUGAGAAGGGAGGCACCCAUUCUGGGUGACAAAGCAAGUCACUGGCCAAAAGUCGUAUCCUUCUGACUACAAAUAUAUUCAGUAUUUUUCUCUCCAACAAACAACCCCUUUCCUGGUCCUGAUGAAUGAAUCAGUAUGUACG
ensembl:lncRNA